AUUGAACGCUGGCGGCAGGCCUAACACAUGCAAGUCGAACGAGUGGCGGACGGGUGAGUAAUGUCUGGGAAACUGCCCGAUGGACGGGGAUAACUACUGGAAACGGUAGCUAAUACCGAUUACCACGAGAUGUGCCAAGUUUGGAUUGGCUAGUGGGUGGGGAAACGGCUCACCAAGGCGAAGAUCCCUAGCUGGUCUGAGAGGAUGACCAGCCACAAUGGAACUGAGACACGGUCCAGACUCCUACGGGAGGCAGCAGUGGGGAAUAUUGCACAAUGGGCGCAAGCCUGAUGCAGCCAUGCCGCGUGUAUGAAGAAGGCCUUCGGGUUGUAAAGUACUUUCAGCGAGGAGGCGUUACCCGCAGAAGAAGCACCGGCUAACUCCGUGCCAGCAGCCGCGGUAAUAC
rnacentral:rRNA from 1 species